CGCAAAAUUUUAUUAGUGGAAAAUAGUUUGUUUUUCAAUAGGCUGAAUCAGCUGUUUACCCAAGUGCGAGCUUGUGAUUAAAUGCUUAGGUUAUAGCUACCUGGUAAUAAAAGUAUUAAAGAUGUGUAUCCAUUUUAGGGUACGCAAUAAUGACACAAUUUUUUUCUUUGUUUUAGUAUGUACGAAGACUGUGAUCUGUAUUCAACGAUGUUUAAUGUUUUCGACAAUAACUCGUGAAAUGGACCUCAUGAAUAGGCUGUGAGGCGACAUUUUAUUUGGAUCUGGCAUAAUGCGGCGGUCCCUGGCACCGAGUCAGCGUCAGUUGGCGACAACGCCAGAUGCGAAGAGACGUCGCGUAUCAACGCCAGCAUCCAUAGGGAACAAUACGUCUUUGCGCACCGAGAACUUCUCCACGGCAGUAAACACUUCAGGGACGAUGGGGAAAGCCAUGGAGAAGUCGGCCCAUGAGCAAUUUAUCCGUGAACUUCUUGCCAAGCCAUUUCGUGUUCCAUUGGCAAACUACACGCCGUCCGCAACUACCAAAACCUUAGGUUGUCGGCGACCCUUAGGACCUCGUCCUAUGCAUGACCCAUUUGAAGAAGGUUCUCUUGUUUUGUGGUCACCCGAGCCAGGCCAAUCAAAAGAAAUGGUGCAUGUUGUUGUUGAUCCGGCGCUUUCCAGAGUUCUACGACCGCAUCAAAGAGAAGGUGUAAAAUUUAUGUAUGACUGUCUUACCGGUGUUCACAUUCCCGAGAGCUAUGGCUGUAUAAUGGCGGACGAGAUGGGUCUUGGGAAGACCUUACAGACGAUUACCGUCCUCUGGACCUUAGUUCGGCAGGGUCCAGUCUAUGGACAGUCAACUGUAAAGAAAGCUCUUAUAGUGACACCAUCAAGCCUUGUGAAAAACUGGGGCAACGAAUUAAAGAAAUGGCUUGGCGAAAGGGCACGGUACAUUGCAUUGGAAGGCGGCUCCGGUGCUGCGAUCGAUGCUGAAAUCGGAUCGUUUCUAAACAAUCGUUGCGUUUCUAUUCUUAUAUUAAGCUACGAAACUCUACGAGUCCACAUAGAACCGCUGAAGAAUUCGAAAGAUGUGGGAUUAGUCGUGUGUGAUGAGGGUCACCGGCUUAAAAAUGCUGAUAACCAAACUUAUCGGGCGCUUAGUGAGUUGAAAACAUCUCGUCGACUGCUUCUAUCCGGAACUCCGAUUCAGAAUGACUUACUUGAGUACUUCUCACUUGUUCAUUUUGUUAACAAUGGAAUCCUGGGCACCGCAGCCGAAUUUCGCAAGAAGUUCGAAAAUCCCAUCCUGCGAUCGAGGGACGCGUACUCGACGGAGGCGGAACGUGAAAGGGGUACUGCUAAACUCACUGAGUUGGUAGCCAUUGUGAAUCGCUGUUUGAUACGGCGCACGAACGCCCUUUUGGCACAGUAUCUGCCAGUCAAGCACGAGCUAAUUGUUUGCUGUCGCCUUACAGACAUUCAGAAGGAGGCUUAUUUGCGAUUCACCCGCACCUAUGACGACAAAAGCUGUACAGCAUUAGCUGCUAUAACAUGGCUAAAGAAGAUAUGCAAUCAUCCUAGUCUUGUGGACAAUCAUGUAUCGACGAGCAGGAAAACAGAAAAGGCUGAUAAAGUGCGAGGACCUGGUGCGAGGGAAAGUAUGAAAGGCCCGAAGAUCGAUCCCGCCGAAUCGGGCAAGUUUCUUAUACUCGAUGGUCUGCUUGCUGCGAUUAAGGCAACUUCAGAUGACAAGGUAGUUAUCGUGUCCAAUUAUACGCAGACAAUGGAGUUAUUCGAACAGUUAUGUCGUCUGCGAGGCUACGGGUACGUCAGGUUGGAUGGGUCAAUGUCGUCAAAGAAACGCGAUCUCCUUGUAAGCCAGUUCAACGACCCGCAAUCUCCAGAUAUGGUGUUCCUUCUUAGCAGCAAGGCUGGUGGAUGCGGGCUGAACAUAGUUGGUGCUAAUCGGCUGGUAAUGUUCGACCCGGAUUGGAACCCCGCAAGUGAUCAGCAGGCCAUGGCACGCGUUUGGAGAGAUGGCCAACAGAAGGCUUGUUUUGUCUAUCGAUUUAUUUCAACAGGAACUAUCGAAGAAAAAAUCUUCCAACGCCAAACGCACAAGACUCUGCUUUCGUCUGUGGUUGUCGAUUCGGAAGCUGAAGCGGAGCGGCAUUUUUCGGCUAAAGAUUUGCGGGACCUCUUUCGAUUAGACGAAGAGGAGUUCUAUUCGUCGACCCAUAGCCAGAUAAAAUGCACCCGAUGUGUCAACAACAUCCAAGUGCGGCAGCCCCCUGAAGAAGCAGAUGUCUCAUCCGAUCUAUCGUUGUGGCAUCACUAUCACUCGUCAAGGCAGUUUAACACUGAUGCUGCACUAAAAAAGGUCUGGCAGUUGGGCGUGAGUUUUGUGUUCGCUCAAAGCUCACACAAGCCGAAAAAAGUCCCCUGAGUCACUGAAGUGUUCAUGCUUCAAAGGAAACAGGGAUGGCAAUUUUUUGUUAUUGGCAGUAUGGAACGAGUAAAGAAAAUCCAGCUCGUGUUAUUCUGUUGCUGUUUUUAACCUCAACUAUUGACGCGUUCAAGCGUUGACGCCAGCGAUUUGCGUCGCAAAUACGAGAGAGCUGUCAGGAUGGACUGUCAUCAAACCCCAGUAAUGGCUAACAAGCUUCUACGAUUACGCUCGUUUUUCGUUACCCAGCACAAUCUAAUGGGCCGAAUCCCGUUUCAUCGUCCAUUUCUCAGGGAUGAUUAAUGCGAAAAAAUAAGCGUAGUCUUUCAAGGAAGUACGGUAAACUGGACCCUGUCCAUGCUGUCCAGGGGACGUUUUUAAUAAGUAAUUAGCUAAGAUAGAACCAUAUAACCAUGGAUUAUUAUAGUAGUCUUACUAGUGUUCGUAAUGACACACUUAACCAAUAUACAACUAAUGUUCUUGUAAUAGCAUUUAUAGUAAUAAUAACAAAAAUAAUGAUAUGAGCAGCUACCUAGUACACUAGCGUGGCUCAUUUAGGCUAUUAAUACGUUUUACGUCUAUUCUAUACAAAUAGCUGAUUGCAUAGCGUAUACGGCACGCUACGUUUCUAUGACAUCGUUGUGUUGUGUAUUUAUUUAUCUAUUGAUACUCACACAGACAGAUAUGAUAUUGAAAAUUAAUUGUCAAUUGUUUCCAUAUUUUAUACCGUUUACCACGCCCAGUUCAUAUGAUUCAGAGGGAUUUAGCAAUCUCGGUGUUCUUAGGCAGCAUCUUGAGAACUAUUAGGCUUGUUGGACCGUUUAAGACCUAUCGGAAUAUCGCGUAGACAUCUGCUAUAGCAAAAAAAGUUCGCCAUAAUUUUAGCGUAAUUACAAAAGAGCGACUAAUUAUUAUAUGAUUAUUAUGUAGUGACGGGGUAGUUUUUUCAAAUGUGUGCACGUGGUGAUACUAUGGUGAUUCGAUGGCACUGAAUACAAGGGCAACGUAGCAGUGCUUGCCACUUCUCCAUCAUCUUGUUUGUUUUUUCGGUCAGCAACUACAUAAUGUCUCGUGUUUACAUCACGAAGUCUCGCGCAUAUGGUGACGUGGAGUAGCGAAUUUCGGCCUGCGAUUUUGUUUCAGAAACAUCGUAGUUCGAGUAUCAUUUCGACGCGCAAACUAUAGAUAUGAAGGGCACGUGAAUAUUCUUCGUUUUGAGGAUGGAAAGUUUUGUUCGAUAUUUCGAAUUUUUCGAAAUUGUCAGCGGCUAAACACUAAUUAGCUGUCCGCUUGCUGUAGCACUCUUCGCGCUAUAUACAAUACCGUUAGGGUAAUAUUCGUAAUCCUACGUAUACCGACAAUAAUAGUAGUCGUAAUAAUGAGUUCCCUUUUAUUCGAUUUGCUAAGGGUCAGAUUAACCACAAUCAUAGGUUCAGAACAGUAACUGGCAAUGGAUUUCGAGGCAAGAAGUGGCCUCCGACUUUCGAUCUCAGUGUAUCCCUCUAACGUAAAAAUGACCUCCCUGUCAACACCUGUCCAUUUGUAUAAUGAAUUAUUUCCUUUCAUAUUAUGGUCAUUAUCUUCAUGGCCAAUUCUCAUUAUUGUUUAUUGUUUUACAGAAGUACAGGGGGUCAAAAUCGUCAAUUCGUAAUCGUGUUAUGGUCAUGCUAAUUCUUAUGAUACGCCUAGUGUAUUGUCUUGGGUUAAAGUAAACUCAGCUGCCUUCCUUACAUUGGGACCUAUAUGUUCUAGUAACGGAAGGACAAGUUUGGCACUUCAGCUUUGUAAAAACAAAGUAUUUAAAACAAGGAAGUUCUAGCGUUUGCUUCAAAAUCUAGUCAACAAUGAUCAGCUAUUACUAAAAAAGAAGUCAUACUCUCAAAAAGAAUGUGGCAAAAAUUGCAACAGAUUCGCUCUUACUUUAAGUUACGUCUCUUCUGACAACGUUUGCACACUUGAAUCAUCUAAAGAUUUUAUGCUAAACUCUACACGCUUGGUUCGGAUGCCCUGUUGGAAUUGCAUCAUUCAUUCAUCGCACUUUUCUUUUGGGCCUUGAUUUACUAUAUAUAUAUAUAUAUAUAAGAGCAAACUGACCGUGAAAUCCUUAAGUGAGUGUUUUUUUUUUCAUUCAGAGGCCUUUUAGGUUAUAGAAACU